rnacentral:lncRNA from 1 species
GUGGAUGCCCUCCCACCUGGCGUAGGCACCACUUGCAACUAUUAAAACGUGAGGCUGGCAACUGACCACCACUUGGGUAGUGACCUGCUUAACAGAGGAGUUGCGAGCACACGUGUUCAGACACCUGGAGAGCUUAACGGGCUAGUUUCACACGGGUGCUAGGUCAAGCAUUCAUUUCUAGACUUGUUGCUCAAAUAACCAAAUUCAAGCAACACUCAGAACUUUCUCUGAACGCUAUACUUGUGAAUAUUCACUUUUGGCAGGGGGUCUAAACUUUAGACUCUAAAGAAAACAUACAAUUAAUCAUUCACAACAGAGCAAAACGUUCACACUUUUUAAAAAGAAAAUGAUUUUUCAAACAUACAAUCCCAAAUUGGGUGCUUUUUUUGGUAUGAAUCUUUAUAAAAAGGAAGUUUGCUACCCUGGUGCGAGGCUUGGAGGGAUGUUUCUACAGACUGUGCGAGUGAGGCAGCUGGAUAUUUGUGCGGGAUCUCUUUGCAAAUGAAGAUCAAAGUCCAAAAG